rnacentral:sRNA from 1 species
CAGCAAUGGGAUAGAAGCAUCAUAGAUGUGCUUCGGCCUUUUGAACAGGGCAUGUCGAACCAUUUUCCAACAUGACAUGACAUGGCCUCGUGGAAAAUGGUUCGAUUCCAUGCAUUCAAUACAACUUCUUGUAUUGUUCGAAAUAACGGGGGAUUUGCCCUACACAUGGAUGGAUAUCGAAAACAAAUCCUGAUUGCAACUCAAUGUACACAUAUGUAAAUCGAACCGUCACAUUUUAUCUCAAACCACAAUUGAAAUAUGUGAUGCGGCCAAAUGUGGAGGAGUCUAGCCAAAAAAAAAAAAAAAAAAAAAAAAAAA